GAGUUUGAUCAUGGCUCAGCCUGAACGCUGGCGGCGUGGCUAAGACAUGCAAGUCGCACGGGCAUCCGCAAGGGUGUCAGUGACGAACGGGUGAGUAAAGAAUCGCUAACGUGCCCCGGACUCUGGGAUAGCUAACCGAAAGGUUAGGUAAUACCAGAUGACAUAUCCUUCCUGCAUGGGAGGGAUCUCAAAGGUCCGCCGGUCUGGGAGCGGGCGAUUUCGUAUCAGCUAGUUGGUGAGGUAACGGCUCACCAAGGCGACGACGCGUAGCCGGACUGAGAGGUUGGCCGGCCACAUUGGGACUGAGACACUGCCCAGACUCCUACGGGGGGCUGCAGUAACGAAUCUUCCGCAAUGCACGCAAGUGUGACGGAGCGACGCCGCGUGUGGGACGAAGCCCUUCGGGGUGUAAACCACUGUCAGGGGACAGAAAGUUCUGAUCGUCCCCAGAGGAAGGCACGGCUAACUCUGUGCCAGCAGCCGCGGUAAUACG
rnacentral:rRNA from 1 species